AAUUAAUGAACUUGAUUUAAAAGUAUUUGUUUUGAAAACUUAAGAAAGAUUUAUUUAUAUACUCUAUUAAUUU
rnacentral:tRNA from 1 species